AUCUAGCUGACGAGUUCCAAACAGGACGAAACGCGCAUCCUGGAU
rnacentral:hammerhead_ribozyme from 1 species